AACGAACGCUGGCGGCAGGCUUAACACAUGCAAGUCGAGCGCCCCGCAAGGGGAGCGGCAGACGGGUGAGUAACGCGUGGGAAUCUACCCAUCUCUACGGAAUAACGCAUGGAAACGUGUGCUAAUACCGUAUACGUCCUUCGGGAGAAAGAUUUAUCGGAGAUGGAUGAGCCCGCGUUGGAUUAGCUAGUUGGUGGGGUAAAGGCCUACCAAGGCGACGAUCCAUAGCUGGUCUGAGAGGAUGAUCGGCCACACUGGGACUGAGACACGGCCCAGACUCCUACGGGAGGCAGCAGUGGGGAAUAUAGGACAAUGGGCGCAAGCCUGAUCCAGCCAUGCCGCGUGAGUGAUGAAGGCCCUAGGGUUGUAAAGCUCUUUCACCGGUGAAGAUAAUGACGGUAACCGGAGAAGAAGCCCCGGCUAACUUCGUGCCAGCAGCCGCGGUAAGAC
rnacentral:rRNA from 1 species